rnacentral:rRNA from 1 species
UUUAGUCAGGCAACGAGCGAGACCCGUACCCACAGUUGCCAGCGGCUGCUCCGGCAGGCCGGGUACACCGUGGGGACCGCCUCUGCUAAAGAGGAGGAAGGAGCGGGCGACGGUAGGUCAGUAUGCCCCGAAUUCUCCGGGCUACACGCGGGCUACAAUGGAUGGGACAAUGGGCUCCGACACCGAAAGGUGAAGGCAAUCUCUUAAACCCAUUCUUAGUUCGGAUUGAGGGCUGCAACUCGCCCUCAUGAAGCUGGAAUCCGUAGUAAUCGCGUUUCAAAACAGCGCGGUGAAUACGUCCCUGCUCCUUGCACA